GGUUCCAUGGUGUAACGGUUAACACGUCUGCUUUACAUGCAGAAAGUCCUGUGUUCGCGCCCCAGUGGAGCCA
rfam:Pteropus alecto contig91514, whole genome shotgun sequence.